UACGGAGGGUGCGAGCGUUGUUCGGAAUUACUGGGCGUAAAGCGCGUGCAGGCGGCCGACUAAGUCAGGUGUGAAAGCCCGGGGCUCACCUCCGGAAGUGCGCUUGAAACUGGUCGGCUAGAGUACGGGAGAGGUGAGUGGAAUGCCGAGUGUAGAGGUGAAAUUCGUAGAUAUUCGGCGGAACACCAGUGGCGAAGGCGGCUCACUGGACCGGCAUUGACGCUGAGGUGCGAAAGCGUGGGGAGCAAACAGG
rnacentral:rRNA from 1 species